rnacentral:rRNA from 1 species
GAGCACGUAGGUGGGUUUGUAAGUCAGAUGUGAAAGCCUCCUGUUCAACGGAAGAAUUGCAUCUGAAACUGCAGAUCUUGAGUGUAGGAGGGGAGAAUGGAACUUCUGGUGGAGCGGUGAAAUGCGUAGAUAUCAGAAGGAACGCCGGCGGCGAAAGCGAUUCUCUGGCCUAUUACUGACACUCAGUGUGCGAAAGCUAGGGGAGCAAACGGGAUUAGAUACCCCGGUAGUCCUAGCCGUAAACGAUGGGCACUAAGUAGAGGGAAUUACCGAUAUUCUCUCUGCCGUAGCUAACGCAUUAAGUGCCCCGCCUGGGGAGUACGGCCGCAAGGCUAAAACUCAAAAGAAUUGACGGGGGCUCGCACAAGCGGUGGAGCAUGUGGCUUAAUUCGAUGCAACGCGAAAAACCUUACCAGGGCUUGACAUGGUAGAAGUAGGAACCCGAAAGGGUAACGAACGGUAUCCAGUCCGUAGCUAUUACAGGUGUUGCAUGGCUGUCGUCAGCUCGUGUCGUGAGACGUUGGGUUAAGUCCCCUAACGAGCGAAACCCUUGUUUUUAGUUGCCAGCGGGUCAUGCCGGGCACUCUAGAAAGACUGCCGUCGUCAAGACGGAGGAAGGUGGGGAUGACGUCAAGUCAUCAUGGCCCUUAUGCCCCGGGCUGCACACGUGCUACAAUGGUCGGUACAAACGGAAGCGAAGCCGAGAGGUGAAGCGAAUCC